rnacentral:snRNA from 1 species
AUACUUCUGGUCAGUAGGUGAGAUACCAGGAUCAUGAAGGUGGUUUUCCAGAGCCAAGCUUAUCUGUUGCACUUGUGAUGUACUGACUCUUGCGAUUUCCCAAACAUGAGAAACUCGACUGCACAAUGUGUGUUUGGGGAGUGUGUUUGUGCUCUUCCUAU